rnacentral:rRNA from 1 species
GACGAACGCUGGCGGCGUGCCUAAUACAUGCAAGUUGAGCGCUGAAGGUUGGUACUUGUACCAACUGGAUGAGCAGCGAACGGGUGAGUAACGCGUGGGGAAUCUGCCUUUGAGCGGGGGACAACAUUUGGAAACGAAUGCUAAGACCGCAUAAAAACUUUAAACACAAGUUUUAAGUUUGAAAGAUGCAAUUGCAUCACUCAAAGAUGAUCCCGCGUUGUAUUAGCUAGUUGGUGAGGUAAAGGCUCACCAAGGCGAUGAUACAUAGCCGACCUGAGAGGGUGAUCGGACACAUUGGGACUGAGACACGGCCCAAACUACUACGGGAGGCAGCAGUAGGGAAUCUUCGGCAAUGGAAGAAAGUCUGACCGAGCAACGCCGCGUGAGUGAAGAAGGUUUUCGGAUCGUAAAACUCUGUUGGUAGAGAAGAACGUUGGUGAGAGUGGAAAGCUCAUCAAGUGACGGUAACUACCCAGAAAGGGACGGCUAACUACGUG